GAUGAACGCUGGCGGCGUGCCUAAUACAUGCAAGUCGAGCGAACAGACGAGGAGCUUGCUCCUCUGACGUUAGCGGCGGACGGGUGAGUAACACGUGGAGAACCUACCUAUAAGACUGGGAUAACUUCGGGAAACCGGAGCUAAUACCGGAUAAUAUAUUGAACCGCAUGGUUCAAUAGUGAAAGACGGUUUUGCUGUCACUUAUAGAUGGAUCCGCGCCGCAUUAGCUAGUUGGUAAGGUAACGGCUUACCAAGGCGACGAUGCGUAGCCGACCUGAGAGGGUGAUCGGCCACACUGGAACUGAGACACGGUCCAGACUCCUACGGGAGGCAGCAGUAGGGAAUCUUCCGCAAUGGGCGAAAGCCUGACGGAGCAACGCCGCGUGAGUGAUGAAGGUCUUCGGAUCGUAAAACUCUGUUAUUAGGGAAGAACAAAUGUGUAAGUAACUAUGCACGUCUUGACGGUACCUAAUCAGAAAGCCACGGCUAACUACGUG
rnacentral:rRNA from 1 species